UACAGAGGGUGCAAGCGUUGUUCGGAAUUAUUGGGCGUAAAGGGCGCGUAGGCGGUGCGGUAAGUCUGCGGUGAAAUCUCCCGGCUCAACUGGGAGGCUGCCGUGGAAACUGCCGUGCUUGAGUGUGGGAGAGGUGAGUGGAAUUCCUGGUGUAGCGGUGAAAUGCGUAGAUAUCAGGAGGAACACCGGUGGUGUAGACGGCUCACUGGACCGUAACUGACGCUGAGACACGAAAGCGUGGGUAGCAAACAGG
rnacentral:rRNA from 1 species